AUUCUUACAGACCUUGUACGCUUUCCAUCAGGAGUCUUUACUAUAAAAGAACGUGGAUGUUCAUGCUUUUCCAGAAGAACAUCUGGCUUCCAUGUAUCUCCUUUUUGCAUCAUUAUUCCUUCUCCAGGUUGCAGAUCAGAUGAUACUACGCUCAUCGGUCUCAUCCAAGAUGGCGAUGAGUCUACAUAUCGGCAGGAGAUGAAGCGGCUGGUUCUAUGGUGCAGUCUGAACAGUCUAGAGCUAAACACCCUCAAAACUGUGGAGAUGAUAGUGGACUUUAGGAAAAACCCCUCAACACUACUCCCCCUCACAAUAUCCAACAGCCCGGUGUCAUCUGUGGAGGCCUUCAUGUUUCUGGGCACUACCAUUUCCCAAGACCUGAAAUGGGAGUGCAACAUAAACUCUAUCAUCAAAAAGGCCCAGCAACUUUCUACGUUAAUUAAGAAAGUUUGGUCUGCCGCAGGAGCUGUUGGUGCUGUUCUACACUGCAGUCCUUGAAUCUGUCCUGUGCAAAUUCAUCACCAUCUGGUUUGGUGCAGCAACAAAACAGGAUAGGAACAGACUGCAACGCACAGUAAAAACAGCAGAAAAAAUAAUUGGCACCCCCCUGCUCACUCUCCAGGACUUGUACGACACAAGAACCAGAAACUGGGCUGUAAAAAUCACUACUGACCCUUCGCACCCUGGACACAACCUCUUUCAGCUCCUCCCUUCUCUCAGGCACUACAGAACUAAUACUGAGAGACACAGGAACAGUUUCUUUCCCCAGACAAUCACCCUGAUUAACAACUCACCAUAAUUAUAGUCACUGCUUCAUAUCUAUAAGUACUGCAUUAUCAGGACUGUCAGUCAUCACAUCAUCUGUA